GGAGUCGGCCGGGCAAUCGCGCGGUGCUUGCACCGGGAGGAAAGUCCGGGCUCCUGCGGGCGGGAUGCCAGGUAACGCCUGGGGGGCGUGAGCCCACGGAAAGUGCCACAGAAAAUAUACCGCCUUUAUUUAUAGAGGUAAGGGUGAAAAGGUGCGGUAAGAGCGCACCGCGUAAAUGGCAACAUUUGUGGCAGUGCAAACCCCAUCGAGAGCAAGACCAAAUAGAGGAGCUAUGAUUUCCCGUGAUCGCUC
rnacentral:RNase_P_RNA from 1 species